GCAGCCGCGGUAAUACGGAGGGUGCAAGCGUUAAUCGGAAUUACUGGGCGUAAAGCGCACGCAGGCGGUCUGUCAAGUCGGAUGUGAAAUCCCCGGGCUCAACCUGGGAACUGCAUUCGAAACUGGCAGGCUAGAGUCUUGUAGAGGGGGGUAGAAUUCCAGGUGUAGCGGUGAAAUGCGUAGAGAUCUGGAGGAAUACCGGUGGCGAAGGCGGCCCCCUGGACAAAGACUGACGCUCAGGUGC
rnacentral:rRNA from 1 species